ACCCGCUGGGUGCACAGGACUUGUUCGCAGCUUGCUGGCGCGUGCCGGUUACAGCGUUCAGAGAGCUGACCCGGUGCUGCCUCCUUGACACGAGCAGAGGGAAGCUGGCCUCCAGGACACAGAAGAAGUAAAGGAGAAGAGGUUUGUGUGGCAGGUGAAUGCAGCCGCCGUGCCCGUGCUGGCAGCGUCAAGGCAGUGGGAAGGGAAAGCUUCCCCUCUGUGGCUGUUGUGCCAAGAAGCAUUGUGUCUCCCCACCAGCCGUGCUCUGAAAGGGUCUCUUCCGUUCAGAAGGGGACUUAGCGCAGGGCGGUCCUACUCCACAAACCUUGUGGAAGGAGCAGAAAGAGGAUCCCCUUGCUUUGAUAGAAAUGAGUGAAGUGCGACGUGUCACUGCGGUGAAAGCAGUCCAGGAUCUGCUGUUUGGGCUUCUGAGUCCAGGCAGGAAGAGGAGUUACUGUGCAGCCAGAUGGUUUCGUUUUUUCAGGAAGAUUAAUUACCUAGCAUCAACCGGCCUGGCCCUGGUAUCCGAGAAACAAGUACUUACGGCAACAGGUGGGUCCCUGGGAUCCCCGAGUUUCUGCAGUUUGCAACAGGCCUCUCUGGUAAGCAGAGUGGAGACCGUACUUCCCAGUGCAAUCCGUGCAGCGCUGAUUGCUGCUGCUGUGACCUUCUGCAAGAAAGUACCCAAGCAGGUACCAGCUCAGUCUCUGUCGGAGACGGUUGUGGGCCACGCAGAUGACUGCUGUGGAGCUGCCUGGCUGGUCUACGAGUUUGGGGAGAGGAGAGGUUACAUCACAGAAAAUGCAAGCUCAGAUGGAAAUUUUACCAUCCUGGACUUUGCAACUCUUUCAGAGCAAGCGGCAGCCAAGCAGAUAAUCCCAUCUUCUCCUGUUUGUGACUUUGUCCUUCCUGUCCUGGCUGCUCUGCUUUGGGAUACCGAGCCAUCGCCGAGGUCUGUCCCAUGCAGCUGGUGGGCCCUGUGA
rnacentral:lncRNA from 1 species